rnacentral:rRNA from 1 species
AAGGACUGGUGGAGUGCUUAGAAGUGAGAAUGCCGGUAUGAGUAGCGAAAGACGGGUGAGAAUCCCGUCCACCGAAUGCCUAAGGUUUCCUGAGGAAGGCUCGUCCGCUCAGGGUUAGUCAGGACCUAAGCCGAGGCCGACAGGCGUAGGCGAUGGACAACAGGUUGAUAUUCCUGUACCACCUCUUUAUCGUUUGAGCAAUGGAGGGACGCAGAAGGAUAGAAGAAGCGUGCGAUUGGUUGUGCACGUCCAAGCAGUUAGGCUGAUAAGUAGGCAAAUCCGCUUAUCAUAAAUGCUGAGCUGUGAUGGGGAAGCUCCUUAUGGAGCGAAGUCUUUGAUUCCCCGCUGCCAAGAAAAGCUUCUAGCGAGAUAAAAGGUGCCUGUACCGCAAACCGACACAGGUAGGCGAGGAGAGAAUCCUAAGGUGUGCGAGAGAACUCUGGUUAAGGAACUCGGCAAAAUGACCCCGUAACUUCGGGAGAAGGGGUGCUUUCUUAACGGAAAGCCGCAGUGAAUAGGCCCAAGCGACUGUUUAGCAAAAACACAGCUCUCUGCGAAGCCGUAAGGCGAAGUAUAGGGGGUGACACCUGCCCGGUGCUGGAAGGUUAAGGAGAGGGGUUAGCGUAAGCGAAGCUCUGAACUGAAGCCCCAGUAAACGGCGGCCGUAACUAUAACGGUCCUAAGGUAGCGAAAUUCCUUGUCGGGUAAGUUCCGACCCGCACGAAAGGUGUAACGAUUUGGGCACUGUCUCAACCAGAGACUCGGUGAAAUUAUAGUACCUGUGAAGAUGCAGGUUACCCGCGACAGGACGGAAAGACCCCGUGGAGCUUUACUGUAGCCUGAUAUUGAAUUUUGGUACAGUUUGUACAGGAUAGGCGGGAGCCAUUGAAACCGGAGCGCUAGCUUCGGUGGAGGCGCUGGUGGGAUACCGCCCUGACUGUAUUGAAAUUCUAACCUACGGGUCUUAUCGACCCGGGAGACAGUGUCAGGUGGGCAGUUUGACUGGGGCGGUCGCCUCCUAAAGUGUAACGGAGGCGCCCAAAGGUUCCCUCAGAAUGGUUGGAAAUCAUUCGUAGAGUGCAAAGGCAUAAGGGAGCUUGACUGCGAGACCUACAAGUCGAGCAGGGACGAAAGUCGGGCUUAGUGAUCCGGUGGUUCCGCAUGGAAGGGCCAUCGCUCAACGGAUAAAAGCUACCCCGGGGAUAACAGGCUUAUCUCCCCCAAGAGUCCACAUCGACGGGGAGGUUUGGCACCUCGAUGUCGGCUCAUCGCAUCCUGGGGCUGUAGUCGGUCCCAAGGGUUGGGCUGUUCGCCCAUUAAAGCGGUACGCGAGCUGGGUUCAGAACGUCGUGAGACAGUUCGGUCCCUAUCCGUCGUGGGCGUAGGAAAUUUGAGAGGAGCUGUCCUUAGUACGAGAGGACCGGGAUGGACGCACCGCUGGUGUACCAGUUGUUCUGCCAAGGGCAUAGCUGGGUAGCUAUGUGCGGAAGGGAUAAGUGCUGAAAGCAUCUAAGCAUGAAGCCCCCCUCAAGAUGAGAUUUCCCAUAGCGUAAGCUAGU